rnacentral:rRNA from 1 species
CAGCAGCCGCGGUAAUACGGAGGGUGCAAGCGUUGUUCGGAAUUACUGGGCGUAAAGGGUACGUAGGUGGUAUUGUGUGUCGGAUGUGAAAGCCCAUGGCUCAACCAUGGAAUUGCAUUCGAAACUGCAAAACUAGAGUACAGGAGGGGAGAGCGGAAUUCUUGGUGUAGCGGUGAAAUGCGUUGAUAUCAAGAAGAACACCGGCGGCGAAGGCGGCUCUCUAGAAUGUUACUGACACUGAUGUACGAAAGCUGGGGGAGCGAACAGGAUUAGAUACCCUGGUAGUCCCAGCCGUAAACGGUGUGAACUUGGUGUAGGGGGUAUUGACCCCCCCUGUGCCGGAGCUAACGCGUUAAGUUCACCGCCUGGGGAGUACGGCCGCAAGGCUAAAACUCAAAGAAAUUGACGGGGGCCCGCACCAGCGGAGGAGCAUGUGGCUUAAUUCGAUGCAACGCGAAGAACCUUACCAGGGCUUGACAUAUACCUGCACGCUCUCCGAAAGGAGAGAAGCUUUCGAAGGUGGUAUACAGGUGCUGCAUGGCUGUCGUCAGUUCGUGCCGUGAGGUGUUGGGUUAAGUCCCGCAACGAACGCAACCCUUGUGUUUAGUUGCCACUCCUGGUGUUAAGCCAGGAAGCACUUUAAACAGACUGCCCGUGCAAGCGGGAGGAAGGUGGGGAUGACGUCAAGUCAGUAUGGCCCUUACGCCCUGGGCUGCACACGUGCUACAAUGGCAGGUACAGUGGGAAGCAAUGCCGCGAGGUGGAGCAAAUCCUCAAAACCUGCCCCAGUUCGGAUUGGAGUCUGCAACUCGACUCCAUGAAGUUGGAUUCGCUAGUAACGGCGUAUCGGCUACGACGCCGUGAAUACGUUCCCGGGCCUUGUACACACCGCCCGUCACAUCAUGAAAGCCGUCUGCACCCGUAGUCGUUGAUCCAACCCGCAAGGGAGGAAGACGCCGAAGGUGUGGGUGGUGAUUGGGAUGAAGUCGUAACAAGGUAACCGUA